UCUCUGAUAUCCAAACCUGUUCUAUCCUUGCUUGCCUGUCUCAAUCAGGGAGCCUAGGUAGACAGCAGCCAUAAUAAAGGAAUGUUUUGUUUCAGGACUAUCUCCUUUUGGAGGUCAGUGUAAGCAGUGAAAGGGGCCUGC